GAUGAACGCUGGCGGCGUGCCUAAUACAUGCAAGUCGAGCGAACGGACGAGAAGCUUGCUUCUCUGAUGUUAGCGGCGGACGGGUGAGUAACACGUGGAUAACCUACCUAUAAGACUGGGAUAACUUCGGGAAACCGGAGCUAAUACCGGAUAAUAUUUUGAACCGCAUGGUUCAAAAGUGAAAGACGGUCUUGCUGUCACUUAUAGAUGGAUCCGCGCUGCAUUAGCUAGUUGGUACGGUAACGGCCUACCAAGGCAACGAUGCAUAGCCGACCUGAGAGAGUGAGCGGCCACACUGGAACUGAGACACGGUCCAGACUCCUACGGGAGGCAGCAGUAGGGAAUCUUCCGCAAUGGGCGAAAGCCUGACGGAGCAACGCCGCGUGAGUGAUGAAGGUCGUCGGAUCGUAAAACUCUGUUAUUAGGGAAGAACAUAUGUGUAAGUAACUGUGCACAUCUUGACGGUACCUAAUCAGAAAGCCACGGCUAACUACGUG
rnacentral:rRNA from 1 species